GGAAAAAAGGCAGAGAAAGGGACCAGGGGUACAGAAGUCAGGAAAUCGUCCAGGACUGUUAGCCUCUGUGCUGGUUCCUCACAGCCUAAAUCUACUCUCCCCUGAUGGAGGACGGGGACCCAGAGCCCACUGAGUUAGUGCUUGAGAUUUCCAGCUUGUGCUUGAGCUGGGGUGUCUGGCAUGCUGUUUCCACAGGAAAUGAGGGGCCUGAAUAUGGAUGGAACUCCUCACCGAGACCACAAGGGCUGCAGGCCAAAUCUCCAAAUGAAAUCAGGCUGGGGAGAAAUGAACAAGCGAGAUGCAGAAAACAAUGUGAAGAAGAAACUCUGAAGAUACGAAUAAUAAUAGAAAAAAAGGCAGUGUCUCUGGGGGAAGUAGCUACCAUGAAGGAUGUAAAACCUUCCCUGAGCUGCUCUGACGCAAGUGUUCCAGCCCAGAGGAGCUCCCAACCACCAGGCAGCAUCAGCAGUGAGCUGUAGGAGGGCACCCCCCAGCCUGGGUGGACCCCAGGUAACUGCAACCCAACCCACCUCUGACUGCACCACCCAGAAAGAGUAGCCUUACCCAGUCGCUCCUGAGUUCCUGCCCUAUGACAUCUGAGCUGAGCGGUAUGCAGGUGCUGCUGAAAACUGCUGAGCUUUAGAGUAAUUUGUUAAGACUGAGCCAAAACACAUCCCUUGGGGGGGUCCUUUUUGAAAGUGAGUGGGUAGACUAGGCUAGCAUUUAAACUACAGUUUGAAAAUUAUGUGUGGAAUUAACGAACUUUUACCCCAGUUCUUUAUUGUUGUAAAACACAUAUAACAUAAAGUUUAUCAAUAUACCUAUUUCAGUGGUAUUAAAUAUGUUAGUAUCAA